rnacentral:rRNA from 1 species
AAUCAACGCUGGCGGCGUGCCUAACACAUGCAAGUCGAACGCGAACGCCUCGCAAGGGGCAAGUAGAGUGGCAAACGGGUGAGUAACACGUGGGUGACCUGCCUUCGAGUGGGGGAUAACGUUCCGAAAGGAACGCUAAUACCGCAUAACAUCCUGCCUUUUAAGAGGUGGACAUCAAAGCUGGGGACCGCAAGGCCUGGCGCUUGAAGAGGGGCCCGCGCCUGAUUAGCUAGNGGUGGGGUAAUGGCUCACCAAGGCAUCGAUCAGUAUCCGGCCUGAGAGGGCGGACGGACACACUGGGACUGAGACACGGCCCAGACUCCUACGGGAGGCAGCAGUGGGGAAUUGUUCGCAAUGGGCGCAAGCCUGACGACGCAACGCCGCGUGGAGGAUGAAGACCUU